GAUAGUAUCAUACAUAUAUAUGAAUAAACAUUUAGGUCCACAACAUCAUUAGCCAACAUAGGCCAAUUCACAUGGCCAAAACACUUUAUCAAUACAAGCCAACACCUUUGGCUAGAUUAUAAUAUCACAUACUCAACAUUAAAACCCUAUACAUGCCAUAGACUCGAAACACUAGGAUUUACUUACACCAAUAGCGUGAACUCGACAGUGUGAUAAUAUCUCUGAUGGCCUCCAACCCGAGCAAAC
rnacentral:lncRNA from 1 species